rnacentral:rRNA from 1 species
CCCGGCGAGCGAAACGGGAAGAGCCCAAACCACUGAGCUUGCUCAGUGGGGUUGUAGGACUGAACUUUGGAGUUACCAAAGAAUCAGGUAGUCGAAGUGGCUGGGAAGCCACACCAGAGAUGGUGAUAGUCCAGUAGACGAAACCUGGUUCUCUCCGUUCAGGAUCCUGAGUACGGCGGGACACGUGAAACCCCGUCGGAAUCCGCGAGGACCAUCUCGCAAGGCUAAAUACUCCCUAGUGACCGAUAGUGAACCAGUACCGUGAGGGAAAGGUGAAAAGCACCCCGGGAGGGGAGUGAAAUAGUUCCUGAAACCGUGCGCUUACAAUCCGUCGGAGCCUUCUUUGUGGGGUGACGGCGUGCCUAUCGAAAAAUGAGUCUGCGAGUCAGUGGUAUGUGGCGAGGCUAACCCGGGUGGGGGAGCCGUAGCGAAAGCGAGUCUGAAUAGGGCGAGCAGUUACUUGACGUAGACCCGAAACCAAGUGACCUACCCAUGUCCAGGUUGAAGGCUAGGUAAAACUGGCUGGAGGACCGAACCCACGUAAGUUAAAAAUUGCGGGGAUGAGGUGUGGGUAGCGGUGAAAUUCCAAACGAACUUGGAGAUAGCUGGUUCUCUCCGAAAUAGCUUUAGGGCUAGCCUCGCGAGAGAGGAUAAUGGAGGUAGAGCACUGUUUGGACUAGGGGCCCGUCAGGGGUUACUGAAUCCAGAUAAACUCCGAAUUCCAUAUAUCUAUACGCGGGAGUCAGACUGCGAGUGAUAAGAUCCGUAGUCGAAAGGGAAACAGCCCAGAUCACCAGUUAAGGUCCCCAAAUCUAUGCUAAGUGGAAAAGGAUGUGGAGUUGCGUAGACAACUAGGACGUUGGCUUAGAAGCAGCCAUCAUUCAAAGAGUGCGUAAUAGCUCACUAGUCGAGUGGCGCUGCGCCGAAAAUUUACCGGGGCUAAGCAUAGUACCGAAACUGUGGAUGCAGGUAACUGCGUGGUAGGAGAGCGUUCUAAAGGCGGAGAAGGCAGAUCGAGAGGACUGUUGGAGCGCUUAGAAGUGAGAAUGCCGGUAUGAGUAGCGAAAGAUAGGUGAGAAUCCUAUCCGCCGAAAGACUAAGGUUUCCUGGGGCAGGCUCGUCCGCCCAGGGUAAGUCGGGACCUAAGGUAAGGCCGAGAGGCGUAGCCGAUGGACAACAGGUUGAGAUUCCUGUACUAUUCGUAAUCGUUAAGAGCAAUGGAGGGACGCAGUAGGCUAAUGGCGCAUGGAGAUGGAAUCAUGUGUAAGCGUUAAGGGAGGAUACGAGUCAAAUGCUUGUAGCCAAUUUUGAGACGUGAUGCGGAGCGAAAUAAAGUAGCGAAGGUCAUGAUGUCACACUGCCGAGAAAAGCUUCUAGCCAGAGAGAUAUUACCCGUACCGCAAACCGACACAGGUAGUCGAGGAGAGAAUCCUCAGGUGAGCGAGAGAACUCUCGUUAAGGAACUCGGCAAAAUGACCCCGUAACUUCGGGAGAAGGGGUGCUGAUCUCCGGAUCAGCCGCAGUGAAUAGGCCCAAACAACUGUUUAUCAAAAACACAGGUAUCUGCAAAAUCGUAAGAUGACGUAUAGGUGCUGACACCUGCCCGGUGCUGGAAGGUUAAGAGGAGAGCUUAGCGUAAGCGAAGGUUUGAAUUGAAGCCCCAGUAAACGGCGGCCGUAACAAUAACGGUCCUAAGGUAGCGAAAUUCCUUGUCGGGUAAGUUCC